UACGUAGGGUGCGAGCGUUGUCCGGAAUUACUGGGCGUAAAGAGCGCGCAGGCGGCUGGUCAAGUCCGAUGUGAAAGCUCCCGGCUUAACUGGGAAAUUGCAUCGGAAACUGAUCGGCUGGAAGGUGGGAGAGGGUAGCGGAAUUCCCGGUGUAGUGGUGAAAUGCGUAGAUAUCGGGAGGAACACCAGUGGCGAAAGCGGCUACCUGGCCCAUUCUUGACGCUGAGGCGCGAAAGCUAGGGGAGCAAACGGG
rnacentral:rRNA from 1 species